GCGAGGAGCAAAUCUGAUUUUUUAAAUUUUUUUUUAAUUUUUUUUUUUUCCCAGUGUUCAAAACCCAUUUUCCUCCUCAAAUUAUUAUUACAGGGGGAGUGAGGAGCGGGCACCCUCGGCCCCAUCCCUGUGGACUGACGGCUGAGGGAGGGCAGCCACCUCCACGUGGCUCCUUCCCAGUCCGGGGUGGGGGGAUGCGGUGAUGGGGAGCAACUUCCCCCCCUGAGCCUGAUCCAGACCAGCCCCCGGGCAGUGUGAAUAACGGGCCGGUGGCAGCCGAAAGUGGGGCUGGGGGCUGGAGGAGCCUCCCCGGAGCCGGCAGCAGCGGCGGGCGAUGGGUCUGGGCUCCAUCAGCGGCGGCCGAUGGGGCGGGAUGCGGUAGCUGGACCACAAGGUGAAAAUUGACGUGAGCGCGGGGCGCUGGCAGCGCCUUGGGCUGAUGAAAGGAUGCUGUUAACAAGCCUUUAACGUUUCUCAUUAAUGGCCGGGUUGGGGCGUUGGGUUUUCUUCCUUGAAAAAAGCCAGAAGACAAAAAUUCCACCUGGGCAGUAAUCAAGAUCGAUCCCGUACAGUAGUACGUUUAGUUAUCAAUUUUUAAAACCCCUUUAAGUGCCUUAUUUAGUUAUUUUAAACAGGGCUUUUCAUUUGUUGCGGUGAGUAGUCCUUGGGCACGGCAGAGGGCUGCCAGGAGCGUGGGGGAUGACUUCUUAGCUCUUCUCCUUAACCAAUAUUCAUCCAACCUGCAGAAGAGCAGGCGCUGGUCCGUCUGGUCCAUCCAUCCCCUCCUCCCCGGCCAGGGAUGCUGCGAGGUGCCGGGGCCGUGGAUCCAGAUCCGUGCUGGCACCACCUGGGUAGGCUCCAUCCCCGUGGUGAACGUCCUCAUGGACACCCAUCGCUGGAGGUCCCAAGGUACCAUCAGCACGGCAGGACACCACUGGAGGUGGAGGCUUCUGAUGCCAACAAGCAAAACGUGACACAAAGUUCUGCUCCAGACAAGCAGUCAGAGUGGUUCCUGUCCAUGGCCACAUGGUGCAGAGCUGAACCCAUGACCCAUGGCUGGAGGAUGUUGUUUGAGGUGAGAAGGUGGUAG
rnacentral:lncRNA from 1 species